rnacentral:rRNA from 1 species
UACGUAGGGGGCAAGCGUUGUCCGGAUUUAUUGGGCGUAAAGAGCGUGUAGGCGGCCAUGUAGGUCCGUUGUGAAACUCGAGGCUCAACCUCGAGACGCCGAUGGAAACCAUGUGGCUAGAGUCCGAAGAGGAGAGUGGAAUUCCUGGUGUAGCGGUGAAAUUCGUAGAUAUUCGCAAGAACACCAGUGGCGAAGGCGGCUCGACUGGCCCGUACGUCGUAAGCGCUGAGGUGACGGAACCGAUGGGAGCAAACUAGGGAUUCAAGUGACCCUGUAGGACCGA